CCUACGGGAGACUGCAGUGGGGAAUAUUGCACAAUGGUGGAAACCCUGAUGCAGCGACGCCGCGUGAGUGAAGAAGUAAUUCGUUAUGUAAAGCUCUAUCAGCAGGGGAGAAAAUGACGGUACCCGAGUACGAAGCCCCGUCUAACUACGAGCCACCAGCCGCGGUACUACGGAGGGGGCAAGCGUUAUCCGGAUUUACUGGGUGUAAAGGGGGCGUAGGGGGGAGUGCAAGUCUGGAGUGAAUGGCGGGGGCGUAACCCCCGGACUGCUGUGGAAACUGUCAGGCUGGAGUGCAGGAGAGGUAAGUGGAAUGCGUGGUGUAGCGGUGAAAUGCGUAGAUAUUAGGAGGAACACCAGUGGCGAAGGCAGCUUACUGGACUGAAACUGACGUUGAGGCUCGAAAGCGUGGGGAGCAAACAGGAUUAGAUACCCGUGUAGUC
rnacentral:rRNA from 1 species